UUUCUCAUCCCACUUUCUCUAUAGCCCGUAUGAGCUUUAGUCGGAGCACUGUGUGUCGAUGAUACAUAUAUUUUCAACUACCUAAGGUCACUUAGUUCUGUGUAAAGUAGAUUGCACUUGGUACAAUUGUUGAUGGAUUGACUUGCUUUCAUUUUUUGAGCCUUAAGCACCUAAUUUAGUUUUGAGUUCUACUCCUCUCAUUUAGACUGCAGGGUAAAUCAUUGCAUUGGAAACUACAAGUGAAAUGGAAGGAAUUUGAUUCUCAGUUAAAACAUUUGGCCAAUGGCAAAGAUACAGAAACUCAUUUGUUCUGGAGCAGAUACAUCAAAGGAAAAAAGGAACUAAAUAAAUGUGACAAUAUGGUUUAGAAAGCCCCAAAGCCGAGGAAGUAGAGAGGCGAGAUGUGAUAUGAACCACCAAUCGCCCCUCCAGCGACUAGGCCUUCUCCCUCAUCCUCAGCCCUGCCGCUGCCGCUGACGCCUUCGGGAGUAGGGGAGGCAUUAGUGACGUUGCCAACAAGGCAGCGGUUGUGGUUGGGGUUUAGCACCAGGUUCCUCGCUGCUGCAUCUGCUGGGAAACACUGCUAUGCCUGUUGUCCGGUGGCGGGGUUUGGGCAUGCGGUGGGUACUCCUUCGGAUUGGCAUGGAUGCCUCCGUGCUUAGAGUGUGUUGUACCUACAGGUUCCCAGGGUUUGUCUACACUUAUCUUUAAGGCUACAACCUGGAGUCUCAUGGAGGUGUGAAGAUGAUACCUAAGUAGUCUAGGACAUUGCUUUGUUAGGGGUUCGCCUAUGUACAAGAAUGACAUGUUUCUUUCCCAUGUAAUAUAUUGUGAUUUUUUUUGCUCAA